UCAAAACACGACCAGUUGAACGUUUUCCGUUCAUCUGCUCUUGGUUGCUUAGGGGAAUAAUGUGGAAUGAGAGCAAUAGAAUGUAUUCUACUUUUCUCAAAAGUUAAAAACCAGGAGCUGAAGAGAGAGACAUAGAUUGGAAAAUGCACAGAUAAAUACAGUAUAAAGCAUGGUCUAUUUAAAAUCUGAAUUAUUUUUACCACCACAGUUCUUCUUGCCACGGCUUACUAUUGGUCUUUUCCCUUUAUGAGGCACAGACACCAUUUUUUUCUUGAAUUUUUAAAAAAAGAAUGUGUUUAUUAGCACAAGGUUUUUCAUUCAUUGUUAAUUACACAAGAGCACCUUCGAAUCCAAACGAAUUUCCUACCAAACCUUCAUUUGCAAAGUAAACAGCAUGUCUUUGGACAGCUUUCCUUGGGGUCGCUCCUAAGGACACUGGCUUAUAGCUGGUCACUAUGGAAAUCAUAUGGGUCCCUCGCUCUUUCUGCUCAAUAGCUACGUUGAAAUGGUCUGGCCAGAUGGGUUGUAAAGUUGCUUUUAUCUGUACAUGUAUGGUAUUUUAGUUUCCAUAAAGAAAGACAGAAAUUAUCUCUUAAGUUAAACCAAAUUUCACUUUUUGAGAUAUCUUCCAACUUAUUUAUUGGUUGUUACUCAAUUGCCUGCCUCUGUGUGUGUGUGUGUGUGUGUGUGUGUGUGUGUGUGUGUGUGUUAUCAGGCAUAUGCUUCUAAGCUUUUAAAUGGAGGAGGAGCAAAAAUCUAUGCCAGAUACUGUAUAUUCUACCAUGGUGCUAAUAUCAGAGCUAAAUGAUACUCCAUUUAAUUUAAAGAAGAGUUUUAAAUAAUUAUCUAUGUACCUGUGUUUCCCUUUUGAGUGUUGUCCAUCAUGUCCACAGUGGUGUGAAAGCAAGUGAAUCAAGUAUGUGUUCUACUUUCUAGGGACAGUACUAUGAUCACUUUUUAAUACAAAAUUAACUAGAGCUUUUCCAAGUGAAAUGGACCAAACUGGCAUUGUUCUAUUUAAACAGAGAGUUUUAAUGCAGUAUGACGUCCCACAGGGGAAAGGAAUGUCUGUAGAGGACAGUUGUCCUCAAAUAUUUUACAGAAACAAAGAAUGAUGAAAAGACCGGUAACUUGCUUGAGUUCCCAUGAAUAGAUUUGAGACUGAAUGGCAAAUCAAUUUUGUAUUUAAAUUUUUUGUACUGAUUUGAAAAACAGAUCAUUAAAUAUCUC
rnacentral:lncRNA from 1 species